rnacentral:rRNA from 1 species
UACGAAGGGGGCUAGCGUUGCUCGGAAUUACUGGGCGUAAAGCGCACGUAGGCGGCUUUCUAAGUCGGGGGUGAAAUCCUGGAGCUCAACUCCAGAACUGCCUUCGAUACUGGAGAGCUCGAGUCCGGGAGAGGUGAGUGGAACUGCGAGUGUAGAGGUGAAAUUCGUAGAUAUUCGCAAGAACACCAGUGGCGAAGGCGGCAACGCUGGACCCCUUCUGACGCUGAGGCGCGAAAGCCAGGGGAGCGAACGGG